GGUUAAGCGACUAAGCGUACACGGUGGAUGCCCUGGCAGUCAGAGGCGAUGAAGGACGUGCUAAUCUGCGAAAAGCGUCGGUAAGGUGAUAUGAACCGUUAUAGCCGGCGAUGUCCGAAUGGGGAAACCCAGUGCAAUUCGUUGCACUAUCGUUAACUGAAUACAUAGGUUAACGAGGCGAACCGGGGGAACUGAAACAUCUAAGUACCCCGAGGAAAAGAAAUCAACCGAGAUUCCCCCAGUAGCGGCGAGCGAACGGGGAGCAGCCCAGAGUCUGAAUCAGCUUGUGUGUUAGUGGAACGGUCUGGAAAGUCCGACGGUACAGGGUGAUAGUCCCGUACACCAAAAUGCACAGGUUGUGAACUCGAAGAGUAGGGCGGGACACGUGGUAUCCUGUCUGAAUAUGGGGGGACCAUCCUCCAAGGCUAAAUACUCCUGACUGACCGAUAGUGAACCAGUACCGUGAGGGAAAGGCGAAAAGAACCCCGGCGAGGGGAGUGAAAAAGAACCUGAAACCGUGUACGUACAAGCAGUGGGAGCACCUUCGGGUGUGACUGCGUACCUUUUGUAUAAUGGGUCAGCGACUUAUAUUCUGUAGCAAGGUUAACCGUAUAGGGGAGCCGCAGGGAAACCGAGUCUUAACUGGGCGUUAAGUUGCAGGGUAUAGACCCGAAACCCGGUGAUCUAGCCAUGGGCAGGUUGAAGGUUGGGUAACACUAACUGGAGGACCGAACCGACUAAUGUUGAAAAAUUAGCGGAUGACUUGUGGCUGGGGGUGAAAGGCCAAUCAAACCGGGAGAUAGCUGGUUCUCCCCGAAAGCUAUUUAGGUAGCGCCUCGUGAACUCAUCUUCGGGGGUAGAGCACUGUUUCGGCUAGGGGGUCAUCCCGACUUACCAACCCGAUGCAAACUACGAAUACCGAAGAAUGUUAUCACGGGAGACACACGGCGGGUGCUAACGUCCGUCGUGAAGAGGGAAACAACCCAGACCGCCAGCUAAGGUCCCAAAGUCAUGGUUAAGUGGGAAACGAUGUGGGAAGGCACAGACAGCCAGGAUGUUGGCUUAGAAGCAGCCAUCAUUUAAAGAAAGCGUAAUAGCUCACUGGUCGAGUCGGCCUGCGCGGAAGAUGUAACGGGGCUAAACCAUGCACCGAAGCUGCGGCAGCGACACUAUGUGUUGUUGGGUAGGGGAGCGUUCUGUAAGCCUGCGAAGGUGUGCUGUGAGGCAUGCUGGAGGUAUCAGAAGUGCGAAUGCUGACAUAAGUAACGAUAAAGCGGGUGAAAAGCCCGCUCGCCGGAAGACCAAGGGUUCCUGUCCAACGUUAAUCGGGGCAGGGUGAGUCGACCCCUAAGGCGAGGCCGAAAGGCGUAGUCGAUGGGAAACAGGUUAAUAUUCCUGUACUUGGUGUUACUGCGAAGGGGGGACGGAGAAGGCUAUGUUAGCCGGGCGACGGUUGUCCCGGUUUAAGCAUGUAGGCUGGUU
rnacentral:rRNA from 1 species